rnacentral:rRNA from 1 species
AGAGUUUGAUCAUGGCUCAGAACGAACGCUGGCGGCGUGCCUAACACAUGCAAGUCGAACGCGAACGUCUUCUUCGGAGGACAAGUAGAGUGGCGCACGGGUGAGUAACGCGUAAGUAAUCUGUCCUGGCAUCUGGGAUAACCUAUCGAAAGGUGAGCUAAUACCGGAUACGUCCUGCGGGAGAAAGACCGCCUCUGUUGUAAGCGGUUGUGCGAGGAGGAGCUUGCGUACCAUUAGCUGGUUGGUGGGGUAACGGCCUACCAAGGCGACGAUGGUUAGCGGGUCUGAGAGGAUGAUCCGCCACACUGGAACUGAAACACGGACCAGACUCCUACGGGAGGCAGCAGUGAGGAAUAUUGCGCAAUGGGGGCAACCCUGACGCAGCGACGCCGCGUGGAUGAUGAAGGCCUUCGGGUUGUAAAAUCCUGUCAGAUGGGAAGAAGUGUACGAUGGUUAAGAGCUGUCGUAUUUGACGGUACCAUCAAAGGAAGCACCGGCUAACUCCGUGCCAGCAGCCGCGGUAAUACGGAGGGUGCGAGCGUUGUUCGGAUUUACUGGGCGUAAAGCGCGCGUAGGCGGUGUGAUCAGUCAGCUGUGAAAGCCCAUGGCUCAACCAUGGACGUGCAGUUGAAACUGUCAGACUUGAGUACUGGAGGGGGUGGUGGAAUUCCCGGUGUAGAGGUGAAAUUCGUAGAUAUCGGGAGGAAUACCGGUGGCGAAGGCGACCGCCUGGCCAGAUA